UAUCCCCUAGUCCAAUAGAUGUAAUCAAUUCCAAUGAAUCUUCCAGUCCAUUUUCUUCAUAAAUACCCAAAAUCCUCUCAUCAUCUUGCAAUGUACCUAUCUUACGUAAUUAUCCUCAAUAUUAUAUAAUCUUUUUCUUUCUUUUCUUUUAAAAUCAUCAACUUUCUUAUACAUAAUAUUUCCAUUCUCCAAUAUACCAAUAAAACUCGCAUCAAAGGCACCUUCAUCUUGCAAGAGUACCUCCUCUUUUGUACCUCCAUAAUCUCGCUUUACAGUGGUACCUCCCCAAAAUCCUUAAAUCCUUCAACAAUCUUUGGCAAUGGUUUCUCCCUCAACCUAUCUCGAUUCCGUUCAUGGUUAAGAGGUACUGUUAGAAAUUGUACAGCUUUCCUCUCAUCUUCGCUCCGUACCCUUGCAUAAGCAGAACCAUCAUCAAGUACUUUUGUUUCCAUCCGUGUUGCCAUGAUAUAAGGUUGUCCUAAAAUCAACGGAUAAGACGUUGUAUCUUGAACGAAGAAAUGUUGCUCCGUCG
rnacentral:lncRNA from 1 species